rnacentral:rRNA from 1 species
GUGAACGCUGGCGGCGUGCCUAAUACAUGCAAGUCGAGCGAACGGACGAGAAGCUUGCUUCUCUGAUGUUAGCGGCGGACGGGUGAGUAACACGUGGAUAACCUACCUAUAAGACUGGGAUAACUUCGGGAAACCGGAGCUAAUACCGGAUGAUAUUUUGAACCGCAUGGUUCAAAAGUGAAAGACGGUCUUGCUGUCACUUAUAGAUGGAUCCGCGCUGCAUUAGCUAGUUGGUAAGGUAACGGCUUACCAAGGCAACGAUGCAUAGCCGACCUGAGAGGGUGAUCGGCCACACUGGAACUGAGACACGGUCCAGACUCCUACGGGAGGCAGCAGUAGGGAAUCUUCCGCAAUGGGCGAAAGCCUGACGGAGCAACGCCGCGUGAGUGAUGAAGGUCUUCGGAUCGUAAAACUCUGUUAUUAGGGAAGAACAUAUGUGUAAGUAACUGUGCACAUCUUGACGGUACCUAAUCAGAAAGCCACGGCUAACUACGUG